CUUGGUCGGAGUAUGAUGGACUGAUGGAACCAUUGAUUUGCUGGUAACCAACUCCUCCUCCUCCUCCUCCACCACCACCUCCUGCAGAUGAUUUGCUGAAAAAAGAAACAAUAGAGAAAAUUGUUAGAUUUGAACAGACUAAGCUAGGUCUAAAGGUACAAUUAUAAAUCAGAUGUAUAGCUGACGAACCAUAUUAAACUUUUGCCGCCGCAGAGAGGAUCUUGCUAGUUGUCAUGGUUAAAGAGAGAAGUAUUCAUCUUUACUCUAUAAAGACGAGGGUACCAGCGCUAAAUUUUAGAUAUCUGAGGUCAGCCUGGAGCUAUAACCAUGUUUAAAACUUAAUGGUUUAAAG